rnacentral:rRNA from 1 species
UGGGGAAUUUUGGACAAUGAGGGCAACCCUGAUCCAGCAAUGCCGCGUGAGUGAAGAAGGCCUUCGGGUUGUAAAGCUCUUUUGUCAGGGAAGAAACGGUAGUAGCGAAUAACUAUUACUAAUGACGGUACCUGAAGAAUAAGCACCGGCUAACUACGUGCCAGCAGCCGCGGUAAUACGUAGGGUGCAAGCGUUAAUCGGAAUUACUGGGCGUAAAGCGUGCGCAGGCGGUUGUGUAAGUCAGAUGUGAAAUCCCCGGGCUCAACCUGGGAAUUGCAUUUGAGACUGCACGGCUAGAGUGUGUCAGAGGGGGGUAGAAUUCCACGUGUAGCAGUGAAAUGCGUAGAUAUGUGGAGGAAUACCGAUGGCGAAGGCAGCCCCCUGGGAUAACACUGACGCUCAUGCACGAAAGCGUGGGGAGCAAACAGGAUUAGAUACCCUAGUAGUCCCUGAGCGGGCUGGCAAGGCGCAU